UGGUUCUCAUUCCUCCGCUUUGUUUUUUCCAUUUAGUUUGGUCUCUCAAGCUCCUGUGUGGAUGAACUUAGCUGACGAGGUAGAUAUGCAGCACAUGAAAGGAACAAUAUGUGAAUUCUUCUACGAAAGAAGGACUGAUCUCUUCAUUCAGGGUCUAGAAUCUACGUUUUAAGGGAGUGACAUGCAUCGGAGAGUCGGAAACAGAAGAAGAAGGACGUCAUCGGCAGCAUCGGACCCACAACCUCCUGGCAUGCACUCGUCAUCAGCGCUGUACACUAAGAUCUGCGAUAAAUUGCGGCGUCACCAAGCUGCAGUGCUGAUCCUACCCACCCAAUUUCUCUGUGAGCGCGCUUUUAUCUGAUUUUCGACUCUCCAGCUUUCAGAUACUCGAGGAAUCCCAGUGCCCGUGUCGUGUUUUAGUGACUCAGGUAACGAACCUCACGAGCGGUUUCUUUGAGGAAAAAUUAAGGUAGACAUGGACAUGGCUCCCAUACCUGAAGAUGCAGAGAUGGCUGCGAGGACGGUGACAUUGCCGCACGAGACACUUCAAACUUGUCGCCAUGGACGAAAUAUUUUGAUAGCUAUUGAUCAUGGCCCGGACAGCCGACGCGCCUUCGAGUGGGCUCUUUUUAAUCUGGUGCGUAUGGCCGACACGAUUCAUCUCGUGCAUGUCCUGCCAGCCAACUUGAACCAGGACGACGCCUCUGUUAUCAUGCAAGCUACAGAAGUAUUGUUUGACAAGCUCCAAAAGGAAGCAUAUGAGGUUGCGAUGGUGAAAACGGAGAGGCAUAUCAUUGAAGGUGAUCCUGGCAAAGUCCUCAGCCACGAGAGCGCUCGGCUUGAACCCGCAGCUGUAGUUAUGGGCUGCCGUGGUCGUAGUCUUGUGAAAAGUAUGCUUCUUGGAAGUGUGAGUGAGUAUUGCACACGUCAUUGCCUUUGCCCAGUAAUAAUCGUUCCUCACAAAGGUACGAGACGAUAUGCAUAAACUUGUGAACAAUUUCUGUAACCAGUUGACUAACGAGCAGAAUUCUCUAUUCUAAAGUUGUCGCUCCACGACAGAGUAUUUCAGAUGACCGUGUUCAAGAACUUGAGGCUUAGUGGAACCGAAGUUCCUGAUCUCAGAAACGAUGUUUGUCACUUCGGUGAGAAGGUUGAAGAUCCCCAAGCUCGACUUUAGAUUCUUCAUUGAAACUUUACAUGCACAGAUCAGUGAUGUAGAGUAGCAGAUUCAGCAAGACUUGUACCAUAUUGUGCUGUUUGUCGUGGACAAGCAAUAAUUUGGACCUACUCCGUACUGUGCUAAUUUCUCCUGUAUAUGCACAUAAUACAGUCUUAUUCUUAGAAGAGUAGUAGAUUGUCUUCACGGCCUUUGGAAGUGUAAACACAGUCGAUUGUGUUCACUAGUCAGUAGAUUUACCCAUCUUUAAUAACAACUGCAUCACCAAGUGACGACAUUAUACUGUUAAAGCA